GACGAACCGUGCGACCGUUGUUCGGAAUCACUGGGCUUAAAGGGCGCGUAGGCGGGGCGGCAAGUCCGGGGUGAAAGCCCCCAGCUCAACUGGGGAAGAGCCUUGGAAACUGCCGGUCUCGAGGGAGGUAGGGGUCUGUGGAACUUCGGGUGGAGCGGUGAAAUGCGUUGAUAUCCGAAGGAACGCCGGUGGCGAAAGCGACGGACUGGACCUCUUCUGACGCUGAGGCGCGAAAGCCAGGGGAGCAAACGGG
rnacentral:rRNA from 1 species